ensembl:lncRNA
GUAAAAAUUGCAUUACAAUGAGAUGCAGCACAGUGAAUUCUGCUCUACAUUGCAUUCAUUGUGAAACAUCAUAAAAAUCUCAUGGCAAGAGUUCACUGGCUGCUGCUUUUGUUGCUUAGAGGAAUACAAAUGUGUGAACACUAGAGGGGGAGCUUAGCCAUGGUGGAUGCAGAAUUGCUCAGGGGUCUGACAUGGGGUCUUCCUUUUAGUCUCCCAUCGACUCGACCCAAGCAGGAGGGACUGAGGGGGUCAAAGGUCACAGAAGCACGAGGAGCACAAGGCCGGUUUUAUUGUCGUUCUCUCCAAGACUGGCGAAGGCUGCGUUUGCUGAGAUUGUGUGGGCUGGUGAAGUUUUUUUUUUUCUUUCAUUAUUGCUAAGUGUGUGUGCACUUUUGUGUGUGAGAGGGACCCUCGUAUUGAGCAGUAGAGAGAGUAGGGAGGGCUUUACACUGUUUUGUGAGCAGGAGUGAAGUUUUAGUCUACUCCGCACAGAGAUACAGAGCUUUUAAAACCCCUCUGGAGACUCUCUAAUAUCAGGAUAGGGAUUAUUGCUGUGGCCCUCCCCUUCACUCUCUCCACUUGUCUAUUCCUCUGCUAUCAUUUAAAUGUCUGUGGAAUAAUUGAAUGAAUUAUCAUACAAUUUUGACAAAUUCAUUGACUCGGCCACAGCCGCGAGUGAGCAAGAGCGUUUCCUUUCAUUUUAGCCGUGCAAGACAUGACAUUUGAAAUUCGUUUAUAUGCCGCCAAGACCUUUUGCUGUUUCGUCAGUGGUCCAAAGAACAAAACGAGAUUCAGAGGCUCAUAUUUGCAUCAUUUGUUUUGGACUCCUCCAAAUAGCUUGGUUCUUCUGGGAUGUGUGUGAUCUCUGGAGAAGACCUAGAUACAAGAAACAAAGAAUUCCUCUGCCUAAAGGAUCCAAGUCAAACCAAUCUGUUACAAGUAACAUUUCAUUAUCUCUUCAGAUACAAACCACAAGGUCCCGCAAAUAGAGGCCUAUUUUUCCGGCUCUGCUAAUAGAAUUGAAUUUCACAGAGUGUAACUUAAAUUAGACAUUCCAUAGCAGCCCUGAAUGGCAGAAAUAAUCGGCAUGGGUGACUAAUUUGGCAGAGCGUGCACUAAGUACACAAAUCCCCUUUUUUCCAACCCUCGCCCGAGGUUUGCGAAGAGCAGCACACAACCCACAGACAAAGGCAAUGCGCGGCUCAUAAAAAUUAACAUAGUAAAUGACCGGAGAAGAAGGCACAGUAAAUAAUCUGAUCUUAUCACCUCUGAGUAUGCGUGGCAUGGAUUGGAGGCGUCCGAUGAAAAUAUCCUUGUUUAUCUUGCAUACCCUUGGAUAAACUUCUUCACAGGAAGCCAUUUCUCUGCAGAGUCUCUGGGGCUUGAGACAAGGUUCUCUACUUCUAUAGCUGAAAUUGUUCUCUCUUUUUUUGAGGAGCAAGUUGAGCAAAAACUGACCACGACUAAAUCAUUUAGCCAUUGGGCUAGGUUGCGAGACUUGAUUUUCUCAGUACAUUUAACAUGCAAACUUUUUAAAGACUUCUGGCCUGACUGCUACACUGUAAAAAAAAUUAUAUUUGGAAGUUUUUGACUUAUGGGAGUACAGUAUAUUUUGCAAAAAAAUACAAUUUCAGUCUUCUGUGUUUAAUUUAUUCCGUUAAUUGCCAUUUCGUAAUUAGUUGUGACAUUUACUAGCAGAUUUAAACCAUUUUUUUUUUCAGUGUGCUUGACAAUGUAUAAUAUCCUAAGUAUAAAUUUUACUUGAGCAGAUUUUACAGUCAUAGUUUUUGUCUUUUGAUGAAAAUAUUUUUUUUAAAUGUCUUUAUUUAACUUAAUUGAAAUGCACUUUUUUGCAGAUGCCAGCUGUAAGUUUGUGUUGUGUCUAUACAUGAUCUUGUGUGUAGGAUGCGUUCAGAUGAGUUAAUUAACCGGCUAGUGAAGCGCUUCAGAUAGUUCACCGCAAAAUGAAAAUUUACUGAAAAUUCAAAGUAGAUAUCUUCAAGAAUGUUGGUAACCAAACAGUUGACUGUAGCCAUUGAAUUCAAUAGAAUGGCUACCAGAGACCAAUCGUUUACCAACAUUCUUCAAACUUUUUUUGUGUUCAACGGAAGAAAAAAAAUACAGGUUUGCAACAACUUGAGGGUGAGUAAAUGUUAUAAUUUUCAUUUUUGGGUCAACUGCUCCUUUAACAGCAAGUUAUCCAGUACAGUCUCUCAGUUUUGGGUUUAAAACACAUGUAAAUGUAUAUUCUAGAUUGUCUAUUGUACAAACAUUAUGCGUGCAUUCCUGCCACUCUGGGACUGAUAUGUUUAUGCCAGAUCCAAUGCAACCGCUUUACAGUGCUAAAUAUGUACUAGAAACCACCUGAGGAUGAAUGUCACAGAUCUCUCUAUCUCAAGCCCUUCACUUCUGUGUCCCGUUGCCCUCUGAGGAACUUCAAAAUAGAGUGGGCCGUGAUGGUUGUCCCCAUUGAGCAGGUCAUAUUCAGUACAGUAUUCAUGUCAGCCAGGAAUAUAUGUCAUUUGUCAGUGUUACAGAGGAGCUUUGAAUCAGAGCUGUAGCCUCAUAGCUGUGAAGGCCAGCAAAUAAAUCAUUCAGCAUACAGACA